GGUCCUUUCGGGGAUAGUGGCGGACGGGUGAGUAACGCGUGAGAAUCUGCCUUUAGGACGGGGACAACAGUUGGAAACGGCUGCUAAAACCCGAUGUGCCCUUCGGGGUGAAAUAUUUAUAGCCUGAAGAUGAGCUCGCGUCUGAUUAGCUAGUAGGUGAGGUAAAGGCUCACCUAGGCGACGAUCAGUAACUGGUCUGAGAGGAUGACCAGUCACACUGGGACUGAGACACGGCCCAGACUCCUACGGGAGGCA
rnacentral:rRNA from 1 species